AUGGUGGAGGAAGGAUCCACUCUGCUGCGGAGAAUGGAGAUCAGUGUGGCCGAGGCAGAGAAAAGAACUGGGAAAAAUACAGUGAACAUGCAAGAGAUAUUCACAGUGUACCUCAUAGAAACUCGACCCAUAGAUGCAAUAACAGAAGGCCAUAACCCAGCCCCAGACUCUCUCUGGAGGAGAUACAGUGARUUUGAGAUCCUCCGGAACUAUUUGUUAGUCACCUAUCCAUUUAUCGUGGUGCCGCCUUUGCCAGAGAAGAGGGCAGAGUUUGUUUGGCACAAGCUGUCUGCAGACAACAUGGACCCAGACUUUGUAGAGAGGCGCAGGGUUGGUCUGGAGAACUUUCUACUUCGCGUGGCCUCCCAUUCGGUUCUGUCCAAUGACAAAAUCCUAUACCACUUCCUGACUGAGGAACACAGGUKGAAGGAGGUGGUGUAUGAGACAGGGUUCCAAGCCAAGGUUGACAUUUGUCUUCCUCUAUCUAGGCGGUUCACAGAGAUGAAACACUACAGCGAUGAGCUUCAGUCUCUCACCUCCCAGCUGCUCAGAGUCAGAGCAAGAGUAGCAGACAGGCUCUACGGCGUAUACAAAGUCCAUGGGAACUACGGAAGAGUAUUCAGUGAGUGGAGUGCCUUAGAGAAGGAGAUGGGAGAUGGUCUACAGAGUGCAGGACACCAUAUGGAUGCCUAUGCUGCCUCAGUAGAUGAUAUGUUGGAGGAAGAGGAGCACUACGCAGACCAACUGAAGGAAUACCUUUUCUAUGCUGAAGCCUUAAGGGCUGUGUGUAGGAAACACGAGCUGACCCAGUAUGAGCUGGAGACGGCCUCCUCAGACCUCAUCUCCAAGAAGCAGCAACGGGAGGAGCUGGCCACUGGGGUAUUCAAUUCAAUACAACUUUAUCGAUACCCUCAGGGGAAUGACCAACAAGCUGUUGGUCAGGAGACACCAGAGCAGAGGAGGCUAAACUCAGCCUACAGAGGAGCAGACGUCCAGGGAGAGGAGACGGUCACAGAGAAAACAGUGGAGUGCGAGGAGUAUGUGAAGGGUGCGUGGGUGGACAUGCAGGAGGCUCUGAUUGGCUACGCCGUCAUGCAGAUCAGCAUGUGUAAGAAGGGCAUUCAAGUGUGGACCAAUGCUAAGGAAGGUUUCCACAAGAUGUAAGGGGGUCGGGCCGUGGGUCAGCGAGCGACGUCUAUGGUACGGUGUACAAAAACUUCAACCUUUGACCUUCACAUGGAAACAGAACCACUGUUGUCAUGGCAACAAGCCCCAGCUGACAUGAGUUACAGGGCUGCGUCUCAGUACUCAUCCAAUACUGGCUGCAUCUCAGUACUCAGUCCAAUACUGGCUGAGUCUCAGUACUCAGUCCAAUACUGGGUGUGUCUCAGUACUCAGUCCAAGCCUUUCAAGACAUGAGAUGCAGUCCGGGACUAUUUUAUAAUGAGAUAUAAGGCACAAACAUAUCCCUUGUGUUGGUUUAUUAAGAAACGUGUGUGUAGUAUCAGCAGGAUAAAGGUGUUUUAUUAAGAGAACGGUGUGGUAGUAUCAGCAGGAUAAAGGUUUGAUGGUGAGAGAACAUGUGUGUAGUAUCAGCAGGAUAAAGGUUGUUAUUAAGAGAACGUGUGUGUAGUAUCAGCAGGAUAAAGGUUGUUUAUUAAGAGGACGUGUGUGUAGUAUCAGCGGAUAAAGGUUGUUUAUAAGAGAACGUGUGUGUAGUAUCAGCAGGAUAAAGGUUGUUAUUAAGAGAACGUGUGUGUAGUAUCAGCAGGAUAAAGGUUGUUUAUUAAGAGGACGUGUGUGUAGUAUCAGCAGGAUAAAGUUGUUUAUUAAGAGAACGUGUGUGUAGUAUCAGCAGGAUAUAGGUUGUUUAUAAGAGGAGUGUGUGUAGUAUCAGCAGGAUAAAGGUUGUUUAUUAAGAGAACGUGUGUGUAGUAUCAGCAGGAUAAGGUUGUAUGGUGAGAGUGUACACAUGGGGGAUGUGGGAAACUUACUCCUCAGCCUGGAGUGCCACCACUUGUGGCAGCCGAGUUGUUAACGCUUCGAUGGCGCCGACUGUAGAACGCUUCGGGAGGGCGGUCACGUGGCUAGCGAAGCAGAUGUCCUGGGUUCGAGCGCCGUGUGAGCCCGAUCAGGAGAGACGGUACUCCGCUAAGUAAGCAGCUGACGUCAGUUAUCAGAAUGCUGCUGUUACCUUGGUUACCUCUAUGAACUGAACUGAAAAAAAACUGAAUCAACUGUCAAAGGACUUCUGGCCUUUUCUCUGCUUAAAGCACAUGAUAUCAUAAUGUCUGGUAUGUGAAUAUGAAUAAGAUAUAUUUUCAGAAAAUGUCAAGGUACAUGUAAUAAAGAAUAUUAUAUACUUUGACGUGUCCA
ensembl:lncRNA